CAUAUCCAUUGAUUGGAAAUCUGAAUAUAUUACUUGGUGAUAUGAAAGAUAUAACUCAAAAAUUAAUAAACAUGUCUACAAACUAUUCUUCGCCGUGGCGACUGUGGAUAGGCC
rnacentral:lncRNA from 1 species